rnacentral:rRNA from 1 species
UGGGGAAUUUUGGACAAUGGGCGAAAGCCUGAUCCAGCAAUGCCGCGUGUGCGAAGAAGGCCUUCGGGUUGUAAAGCACUUUUGUCCGGAAAGAAAUCCUCUGGGUUAAUACCUCGGGGGGAUGACGGUACCGGAAGAAUAAGCACCGGCUAACUACGUGCCAGCAGCCGCGGUAAUACGUAGGGUGCAAGCGUUAAUCGGAAUUACUGGGCGUAAAGCGUGCGCAGGCGGUUUUGUAAGACGGAUGUGAAAUCCCCGGGCUUAACCUGGGAACUGCAUUCGUGACUGCAAGGCUAGAGUAUGGCAGAGGGGGGUAGAAUUCCACGUGUAGCAGUGAAAUGCGUAGAGAUGUGGAGGAAUACCGAUGGCGAAGGCAGCCCCCUGGGCCAAUACUGACGCUCAUGCACGAAAGCGUGGGGAGCAAACAGGAUUAGAUACCCUGGUAGUCCACGCCCUAAAACGAUGUCAACUAGUUGUUGGGGAUUCAUUUCCUUAGUAACGUAGCUAACGCGUGAAGUUGACCGCCUGGGGAGUACGGUCGCAAGAUUAAAACUCAAAUGAAUUGACGGGGUCAUAGCUGUUUCCU